CCUACGGGGGGCAGCAGUGAGGAAUAUUGGUCAAUGGGCGUAAGCCUGAACCAGCCAAGUCGCGUGAGGGAUGAAGGUUCUAUGGAUCGUAAACCUCUUUUAUAAGGGAACAAAGUGUGGCACGUGUCCUAUUUUGUAUGUACCUUAUGAAUAAGGAUCGGCUAACUCCGUGCCAGCAGCCGCGGUAAUACGGAGGAUCCGAGCGUUAUCCGGAUUUAUUGGGUUUAAAGGGUGCGUAGGCGGGAUGUUAAGUCAGCGGUGAAAGUCUGGGGCCCAACCAUAGAAGUGCCGUUGAAACUGGGGUGCUUGAGUGUGUGUGAUGCAGGCGGAAUGCGUGGUGUAGCGGUGAAAUGCUUAGAUAUCACGCAGAACCCCGAUUGCGAAGGCAGCCUGCCAGGCCAUGACUGACGCUGAUGCACGAAAGCGUGGGGAUCAAACAGGAUUAGAUACCCGGGUAGUC
rnacentral:rRNA from 1 species